AGAGUUUGAUCCUGGCUCAGAACGAACGCUGGCGGCGUGGAUUAGGCAUGCAAGUCGUACGCGAAAGAGGGAGUAAUCCCUCGAGUAGAGUGGCGAACGGGUGAGUAACGCGUGAGAAACCUGCCCUAAGCAGGGGGAUAACACUCCCAACGGGGUGCUAAUACCGCAUGAGACCACGGGAUCGCAUGAUCCUGAGGUCAAAGGUGGCCUCUGCUUGCAAGCUACCGGCUUAGGAUGGUCUCGCGUCCCAUUAGCUAGUUGGCGGGGUAAUGGCCCACCAAGGCGACGAUGGGUAGCUGGUCUGAGAGGAUGGUCAGCCACACUGGGACUGAGAUACGGCCCAGACUCCUACGGGAGGCAGCAGUCGAGAGGCUUCGGCAAUGGGGGAAACCCUGACCGAGCGACGCCGCGUGAAGGAUGAAGGCCCUUGGGUUGUAAACUUCUUUUGUUCGGGAAGAAAUGCGAUCAGGUGAAUAAUCUGGUCGUUUGACGGUACCGGACGAAUAAGCUCCGGCUAACUCCGUGCCAGCAGCCGCGGUAACACGGGGGGAGCAAGCGUUGUUCGGAAUCACUGGGCGUAAAGGGCGUGUAGGCGGUCAAGUAAGUGGAAUGUGAAACGCCUCGGCUUACCCGAGGACCUGCAUCCCAAACUGCUUGGCUUGAGUAUGGGAGAGGAUGAGGGAAUUCCUGGUGUAGCGGUGAAAUGCGUAGAUAUCAGGAGGAACACCGGUGGCGAAAGCGCUCAUCUGGCCCAAUACUGACGCUGAGGCGCGAAAGCUAGGGGAGCAAACGGGAUUAGAUACCCCCGUAGUCC
rnacentral:rRNA from 1 species